UACUAACCUUUUCACCAACAAUGUUCUGUGUCUGAGUUACCCUAUUCAAGUCCAGCCUUAUGUUACCAACACUAGGAAAAAUAUGUACGUAUCAAGAAUUAUUGAGUUUUGAAAGAAAUGCCAGUUACAAUUUAUAGCCAGUUGCUAUAGUUUUUAAAUGACGCUUAUUUGGGGAUCUGGGCCAUUUUAAAGCCUCAGUCAUUGACAUUCAGUCUAAAAGAUGAUGUGCAGUUUCUCGUACUCUUUUAUACCCAAAUGUUUCUGAAUAUUUUGAUGCACUUCUUCCAGCCUUAUCUCUGCUUUCUAUCUCCCUGUCUCUCCCAUAAUCUGUCACCACUCCCCCCUCUCCCUCCCUGGAAUGUUGGUGUUUAGCUCAAACAUACCUCUGAGAGAGCCUGAAUGCAAUGCCGAGCAGCCUGCAGAAGCUUCUCCUCGUCGUGUCUCUGCAACCUCUUCCCCAUUAUUCUUAAAAAAAUCAAAGCAUACCUCAAGCGGGGAGCAGAGUGGUCCUGCUACGCAAAAGAGCCUUUUCAACCGUUCUACUCUGAGGAAAAGACUUCAUUCUUCUUCCUCUGUGCCAAAUUUUCUAAAAUUUCUGGCUCCUGUAGCUGAAAAUAGCACUUCUGACUUUAACGGCAAGAAAAGUGACUUUGAAAUAAAAUCCAGCCAUAGUGAUGUGGGAUGUGAUAGCCCUGUAAGGACGCGGCGUCAUUCUUGGAGGCAACAGAUAUUUCUUCGUGUGGCAACUCCACAAAAGGGAUGUGAUUCCCCUAAUAGAUAUGAAGGUAAGCAGUAAAUGUUCUUUGUACACAAGUUGUCGAUAAAACUGGAUUGGAUUUAUUAUUUAUGUUUUUUAUAAUAUCCAGAAGCUGCCCUUGAGCACGCUGUUUUUGUCUCUACAAAAUAUGCAUUUACAUAAAAAUCAGAGAGAUGUAAAGUUUAUAUUGUGCUUUUUUUACUAGUCAAAAGUUCUUCUAAGAUCUGUACAGUUGUCUAAGCUCAGCAUUAUUUAUGUACAUUAUAAAAUAAGUUAUUUUGCUGAUGAGAUCACUAAUUACUUAUAGCCCAAAGCACAACAUGAUGUUUAAGAUAAUAUAUGAAACCUUCAUCAGAAAAUGGAAGCUAGUUAUUUUUUUUUUACUUGCAUCCAUCUCUGUUUAUCUGUAAUUAAAGGGACAUUGUGCUGAAACAUAACGAGGGUUAAUGGGCUAAAUUACAAGUGUAGUGGUAUUUAUCGCUCCAACUCGAGCACAAACAAUGCUGAAAGUAAAGUCUUUAUGCAUUCAGGUUAGCGCACUUAUUACAAAUUGAAAGUAAAUUCUUAGUGCUUGAGCGAAACCUUAUGAGCGCAAACUUCAGGAAUUCAGAUAUUGCAACCGUGUUAAUUUCUCCCCAUAUAAUUUAAUGGAGCUGAAUUAAAAAAAACUCAUCGCUUGCGUGCUAACCCAACACUGUAUUAAACCCACAGUGCUAUAUCUGACAGGACGGGCUUAUUAAUAUUUCACAUUCCACUGUUCUUUGUAUACAGGAAAAUUUUAGAUAUAUCCAUAUAUAAUGAUACCUGUGUGUGUGUGUCAGUCACAUGGCAGUAACUCAAUGCAUUUAGACAUCUAGACGUGUUGAAGACAACUUUCUGAAGUUCAAACCGAGCAUCAGAAUGGGGAAGAAAAGGGAUAUAAGUAACUUGAACAUGGCAUGGUUGUUGGUGCCAGGCGGGCUGGUCUGAGUAUUUAAAAAACUGCUGAUCUACUGGGAUUUUCACGCACAACCAUCUCUAGUGAAAAUAUCCAGUGAGCGGCAGUUGUGUGGAUGAAAAUGCCUUGUUGAUGUCAGAGGAGAAUAGGCAGACUGGUUGGAGAUGAUAGAUUGGCAACAGUUACUCAAAUUAUUUACUAAAAAGCAAAAGAAAGAGGGGGCGCACAGAAUAUGACAGAUAUUGCAAGUUAAUCUAACAUACAAACCAACUUUAAACAAGGCCAGUCCUUGUGGAAAUUAACGGAUCUAUGUCAUUAUAGUUGUAUGAUAAUAGUCCGAAAGAUGGGUCAGUGCUAUGCACUGUCCACGGUGUGUGGGCACUCCCACAGUUCACAGGGUAAUGGUGGCUGCUCUCCUCAUCUCAGAUGAUCCUGAACAGAACUAUAAAGUGAAGCACAAAACAAAGGGUCACCUCAUGUGUAGAUCAACCGACAACAGAUACACCAUAUGUGAAGGCCAAAGCCAAAAGUGUACUCACAUUUGGCAAUAGCACACCAAUGUGCUGGUAGUAGCAGGCUGAUAUCUCUGGGUGUAUCAGCUCACCCUCUGUCGUCUGGUGGUACCAACUGGAUUUCAGACUGGAUGCAGGGCACACAUAUGCUAGCACUAUGCUUGAGUAUAAAAAUGGUUUAUUAAAAACACAUUUAAAAACAAAAGCAGUGAGUGGAAUAGGGGUGUCCAAGUGUUCCCCCCCCAUCUGCAACGCGUUUCCCGGCUAUGGCUGCCAUUUCAUCAGGCAUCUAGCACCUUACACAGUUCAGUUUUAUUUAAACCAUUUGUUAACCACUGAGCAAACCCACCGCCCAUUGUGGGUGUGUUGAAUGCACAUAAGUUGAUAAUUAAAUUAAUCAUGAUUAAUUUCUGUCUUCCUAAAGUGUCAAAACAUAUAACAUCCUAAUUUCUAAAAUACAUAUUUCAUGUUCACUUAACCUGUUGGCCCUCACUGAACCUUGGCUUUCCUCCUCUAACACAACUGCUGUAGCCUCUCUGUCCUAUGGCGGCCUGCACUUCAGUCACACUCCCAGACCAGGAGACAAACAAGGAGGGGGAGUAGGAAUUUUCCUGUCUCCACACAGUACAUUUCACUGCAUUCCUUCACCCCCCUCUCUUUCCUUCUCAUCUUUUGAAGUUCAUGCUAUCCGCCUCUUCUUCCCUGUAGCUCUUCGUGUUGCAGUUAUCUAUCGGCCCCCUGGCCUAGCAUCACAAUUUCUGGACCAAUUUGAAGCCUGGCUUCCACAUUUUCUCUCUCGUAAUGUCCCUUCUCUCAUCUUAGCGGACUUUUACCCGUUAAUAAUCCUAACAUGCCUGCUGUCUCUAAACAUCUAUCCCUAACCACCUCUUUUGGCCUGUCCCAGUGGACAACAUCUCCAACCCACUGUGACGGCAACUCCAUAGACCUAGUCUUCACUAAUCUCUGUGCCGUUUCCAACUUCUUUAACUUCCCCUUUCCUCUCUCUGACCAUCAUUUACUAACUUUCUCUCUUACUCUAGCUACUACAUCUUUGCAAGCCCCCAAAAAACUGCUACCUUGCAGGAAUUGAAAUGACUUGGAUCUCACAAACUUUUCUACUCAACUGAAUCCUCUGCUUUCCAACAUUUCAUCCUUCUCUUGCCCAAAUUUUGUGGCCUUACAGUAUAAUUUGGCACUAAAAUCAACACUUGACCAAGUUCCACCCACUCUGACGUGCAUCAAUCACUUGAUGGCAACCGUGGCACACCAAACAUACCAAAUAUCUUCAGCGAUGUUCACAGGCUGCUGAACGGCAGUGGAGGAAAUCACCCACCUGUGCUGAUUUCUGGCAUUAUAAAUUCAUACUAAAGUCCUACAACUCUGCGCUCAGCCUGACCAAACAAGUCUAUUUCUCCUCCCUUGUAUCAUCUCACGCACCCAACCCCAGAAAGCUGUUCUCAACCUUUAACUCCCUUCUAGGUCUGCCUGCAUUCCUGCCCACUACUAACGUCAUUGCUCAGAUUAUUGCUGAUCACUCCACAAAUAAAAUUGACACCAUUAGAAAAUAUAUCUGCACCUUACACCCCUCAAACCCAACAAUCCUACCCACCCCUUCUAUUAACAAAACUCUAUGCUACUUCCCUCCUGUAACAGAGGAAGAAGUCUCUGUACUCCUAUCCUUGGCUCAUCUCACCACCUGCCCACUUGACCCUAUUCCUUCACAACUUCUUCCCUCUCUCUCUGCUUCACUAACCCCUACUCUAACUCAUCUCUUUAACCAAUCUCUUACUGCUGGCACAUUUCCUGAUACAUUUACAAAAUUUGGUUUAGCACACCAUACAAAAAUUUUAUAUACACAUCUUUGGGAGUGCUGCAAAUAUGACCUAGUCAAUACUAAAACAAAAAGUUAUUAGCGCACAUCCAUUUUCAAAAGCACAACAUUUUUUAAACUGCUGCAAAAAAUUUGCCUGCAAAACACAUCAAAAGUCAACUAUUCUUUUUCACACAAUAUGGCCAUAUUCUGCUUAGCCAGUGUCAGGGUGCCAGGAAUCAGACUGAGACAAGAAGUGCAAAAAUAAUCACACCUUUAUUAAUAGCAAAAAAUAAUAAAAAGUCCACAAGUCAAAUAAGAAGCCAGGAAUCAAAACCAGAACUGGUAGUCAGACAAGCCGAGUCAGGAGCCAAAGCGAAUAGUCAGACGGGCCAGGUAAUACACAGGAGCUCUCACAAACAGGUCUGAGACCACGCAAGGGCAAAGCAUACUGAACAGAGGCCCUUUAAAUAAAAAGUGAUGACAUCACAAUUCUGAGACUCCAUCCUGUCUCACACGGAUGAUGUACACCAGUCUGGCCAUAAAAGGAAGUGCAGGAAAUGAGCAGCAUCACACAGUAUGCACCAGAGUCAGGAAAAGAGGUAAGUAAAAUGGCUGACAGCAGCACAUAGCAAAUAGAUCAGGGAAAAAACCCUGACAGCCAGUCACCAACUUACAAGGUGCCUCAAUAUAGACUGGUCCUAACACUACAUUCAUUUGCCUCAGAGGGCUGAAUCAUUCCUGCUUUUACUCUUCAUAAUAGAAUGAGUCUCACCCGGCUUAAUAUUCACAACUCUUUUACACUGUCAUGAGCACACCUGAACUAGGGUUGGAUGCUUUAACCAAUGAGAUCUGGUCAGUCUCCCUGAUUAUGUUGUCAUACAUUUACAAAAUUUGGUUUAGCACACCUUACAAAAAGUUUAUAUACACAUCUUUGGGAGUGCUGCCAAUAUGACCUAGUCAAUACACAAAUUUCCUGAUACAUUCAAGCAUGCGUCAAUCAUACCAAUCCUAAAAAUGCCCUCGCUUGACCCCUCCACCCCUUCUAAUUAUGGACCGGUCUCCUUACUUCCCUUUGCUUCAAAAUUAUUGGAACGACUGGUCUAUAAUCGGCUAACUCAAUUUCUCAAAACUAAAUCCUUACUUGAUCCACUACAAUCUGGUUUCCGCCCUAAACACUCAACAGAAACCGCUCUUACUAAAGUAACAAAUGACCUGUUAUCAGUUAAAGCAAAAGGUCACUACUCCUUACUAAUUCUUCUUGACUGUCCGCUGCCUUUGACACAGUUGACCAUCCUCUCCUCCUAAAAAUACAUUCAUUUGGCAUCCGAGACACAGCCCUCUCCUGGUUUGCCUCAUAUCUCUCAAAACGCUCGUUUUUAGUUUCCUUUAACAACAUAUCUUGUGAUCCUAUGCCUCUCUCAGUUGGAGUACCGCAGGGCUCUGUCUUGGGUCCCUUGCUUUUCUCUCUCUAUACAUCCUCCUAUGGAAAAUAGCCUCCUUUGUAUUCCAAUAUCACUUAUAUGCUGAUGAUACCCAAAUCUAUCCUUCCUCUCUUGAUAUCUCUCCAAACCUUAUUCAACCAGAUUUCCAACUGCCCCUCUGCAAUUUCCUCUUGGAUGUCUUCACACUACCUCCAACUCAAUCUGUCCAAAACUGAGCUGCUUCUUAUUCCCCCCCCCCUCUUCGAGACAUCAAACACCUGACAUUUCUCUGACGGUUGGAGACUCUUUUCUCAACACCUCACCCCAGGUCCGCUGUCUUAGGGUUACACUUGACUCAGAACUCACAUUCAACCCACAUAUACAGGGAGUGCAGAAUUAUUAGGCAAGUUGUAUUUUUGAGGAUUCAUUUUAUUAUUGAACAACAACCAUGUUCUCAAUGAACCCAAAAAACUCAUUAAACUCAAAGCUGAAUAGUUUUGGAAGUAGUUUUUAGUUUGUUUUUAGUUAUAGCUAUUUUAGGGGGAUAUCUGUGUGUGCAGGUGACUAUUACUGUGCAUAAUUAUUAGGCAACUUAACAAAAAACAAAUAUAUACCCAUUUCAAUUAUUUAUUUUUACCAGUGAAACCAAUAUAACAUCUCAACAUUCACAAAUAUACAUUUCUGACAUUCAAAAACAAAACAAAUCAGUGACCAAUAUAGCCACCUUUCUUUGCAAGGACACUCAAAAGCCUGCCAUCCAUGGAUUCAGUCAGUGUUUUGAUCUGUUCACCAUCAACAUUGCGUGCAGCAGCAACCACAGCCUCCCAGACACUGCUCAGAGAGGUGUACUGUUUUCCCUCCUUGUAAAUCUCACAUUUGAUGAUGGACCACAGGUUCUCAAUGGGGUUCAGAUCAGGUGAACAAGGAGGCCAUGUCAUUAGAUUUUCUUCUUUUAUACCCUUUCUUGCCAGCCACGCUGUGGAGUACUUGGACGUGUGUGAUGGAGCAUUGUCCUGCAUGAAAAUAAUUUUUUUCUUGAAGGAUGCAGACUUCUUCCUGUACCACUGCUUGAAGAAGGUGUCUUCCAGAAACUGGCAGUAGGACUGGGAGUUGAGCUUGACUCCAUCCUCAACCCGAAAAGGCCCCACAAGCUCAUAUUUGAUGAUACCAGCCCAAACCAGUACUCCACCUCCACCUUGCUGGCGUCUGAGUCGGACUGGAGCUCUCUGCCCUUUACCAAUCCAGCCACAGGCCCAUCCAUCUGGCCCAUCAAGACUCACUCUCAUUUCAUCAGUCCAUAAAACCUUAGAAAAAUCAGUCUUGAGAUAUUUCUUGGCCCAGUCUUGACGUUUCAGCU